rnacentral:rRNA from 1 species
CCCUUAGACGUUCUGGGCCGCACGCGCGCUACACUGACCGGUGCAACAAGCAUCCGUCCUUGGCCGACAGGCCCGGGCAAUCUUUGAACGCCGGUCGUGAUGGGGAUAGACUUUUGCAAUUUUUGGUCUUCAACGAGGAAUUCCUAGUAAACGCAAGUCAUCAACUUGCAUUGAUUACGUCCCUGCCCUUUGUACACACCGCCCGUCGCACCUACCGAUUGAAUGGUCCGGUGAAGCCUCCGGAUUGGCGCGCACCUCGGUGCCGCCGAGAAGUUGGCUAAACCUUACCAUUUAGAGGAAGGUGAAGUCGGAACA